rnacentral:tRNA from 1 species
GCCUGGGUGGCUCAGUCGGUUAAGCACCCGAGUUCGGCUCAGGUCGUGAUCUCACAGUUUGUGGGUUCGAGCCCCACAUCAGGCU